rnacentral:rRNA from 1 species
AGCGAACGCUGGCGGCAGGCUUAACACAUGCAAGUCGAGCGGGCACUUUCGGGUGUCAGCGGCGGACGGGUGCGUAACGCGUGGGAACGUGCCCUCUGGUUCGGAAUAACUCAGGGAAACUUGAGCUAAUACCGGAUACGCCCUUUUGGGGAAAGGCUUGCUGCCGGAGGAUCGGCCCGCGUCUGAUUAGCUAGUUGGUGAGGUAACGGCUCACCAAGGCGACGAUCAGUAGCUGGUCUGAGAGGAUGAUCAGCCACACUGGGACUGAGACACGGCCCAGACUCCUACGGGAGGCAGCAGUGGGGAAUAUUGGACAAUGGGCGCAAGCCUGAUCCAGCCAUGCCGCGUGAGUGAUGAAGGCCUUAGGGUUGUAAAGCUCCUUUAUCCGGGACGAUAAUGACGGUACCGGAGGAAUAAGCCCCGGCUAACUUCGUG